ACGAACGCUGGCGGCGUGCUUCACACAUGCAAGUCGAACGGAAAGGCCCUGCUUUUGUGGGGUGCUCGAGUGGCGAACGGGUGAGUAACACGUGAGUAACCUGCCCUUGACUUUGGGAUAACUUCAGGAAACUGGGGCUAAUACCGGAUAGGAGCUCCUGCUGCAUGGUGGGGGUUGGAAAGUUUCGGCGGUUGGGGAUGGACUCGCGGCUUAUCAGCUUGUUGGUGGGGUAGUGGCUUACCAAGGCUUUGACGGGUAGCCGGCCUGAGAGGGUGACCGGCCACAUUGGGACUGAGAUACGGCCCAGACUCCUACGGGAGGCAGCAGUGGGGAAUAUUGCACAAUGGGCAGAAGCCUGAUGCAGCAACGCCGCGUGCGGGAUGACGGCCUUCGGGUUGUAAACCGCUUUCGCCUGUGACGAAGCGUGAGUGACGGUAAUGGGUAAAGAAGCACCGGCUAACUACGUG
rnacentral:rRNA from 1 species